CAGUAGCCGCGGGAAUACGGAGGGAGCUAGCGUUGUUCGGAAUUACUGGGCGUAAAGCGCGCGUAGGCGGUUACUCAAGUCAGAGGUGAAAGCCCGGGGCUCAACCCCGGAACUGCCUUUGAAACUAGGUGACUAGAAUCUUGGAGAGGUCAGUGGAAUUCCGAGUGUAGAGGUGAAAUUCGUAGAUAUUCGGAAGAACACCAGUGGCGAAGGCGACUGACUGGACAAGUAUUGACGCUGAGGUGCGAAAGCGUGGGGAGCAAACAGGAUUAGAGACCCCAGUAGUCCCUGUCUCUUAUAC
rnacentral:rRNA from 1 species